rnacentral:rRNA from 1 species
UAAUACGGAGGGUGCAAGCGUUGUCCGGAUUUAUUGGGUUUAAAGGGUGCGUAGGUGGCGUAUUCAGUCAGUGGUGAAAGCCUGCAGCUUAACUGUAGAGGUGCCAUUGAUACUGACAUGCUUGAGUAUGGACGAGGUAGGCGGAAUUUGUGGUGUAGCGGUGAAAUGCAUAGAUACCACAAGGAACACCGAUAGCGAAGGCAGCUUACUGGACCAUAACUGACACUGAGGCACGAAAGCGUGGGGAGCGAACAGGAUUAGAUACCCUGGUAGUCCACGCCGUAAACGAUGCCCACUCGAUGUAUGCGAUAUACUGUAUGCGUCCAAGCGAAAGCGUUAAGUGAGCCACCUGGGAGUACGCUCGCAAGAGUG